rnacentral:misc_RNA from 1 species
AAGCCAGACCCAGACCGAGACCAAGGCGGGGCGGUGUAAUCGAGGUCACAGAGAGGUCACAGGUGAAGGAUGGCGGCGUCCCAGCUGGUCCAGGACGCGCUGGUUCGCAAGACGGCCGCCCACUCCCUGCUAUGGGGUGGCCGGUCCGCGGGGCUUCUCGUCUUCCUUAUCGCUGUCUUCACCUAUGAUUUGCAGAAUGGGGGUGUGAGUGGGUGGGGCGGUGCGUGGUGGUGGGUGUGCUGGUGUGUGUGUACUCUGCUUGGUGUCCUGCUGGUGCGCCUCCUGCUGUCAGCCCUGCUCCUCUACCUCACCCUGCCGCCCCUUGAGGUCUCCGACAAGCAGAGACAACUUAUGAACAUUACACAGAAUGACUUUGGGUUCAAGUCGUCAUCACCACAGCAAGCCAGUUCAACACCAGUGGCAGAGCAGAAGGUUCCUCUCUCUUCCCUCUUCUCCGCCACUGUCCGCACACCCUCCCCUGCCCCCCCUCUCUCCCCCAUCAACCUCACCACAGCCUCCUGGUCCAGCCUCUCCCCUCAGUCUCCCCUUGCUGCCGCCUCGCAUAAUAGCAGCCUUGGUUUGAGUGCCAGUAUGCUCAGUAGUGGCACCGCUGGCUCUGUGACGGCUGACUCCUGGUCCUUCCACCGCAACCAGUCCUCCCUGCUGGACCUAUCCUUCCCCUUAAUGUCGGGCAGCCAGACACAGCCACAGCAGCAAAUGUUCCAGCCACCACUGACAGAUUCCCUCCUCAGUCAGCCCCUGCCGUCACCCGCCACCCCGCCAGCCUCCCCCGCCUCUCCGAUCACUGAUGAGGCCUCCCUGCAGUCUUAUCUACACCACCACAGGGAGAAGGAGAAGCUCAGGCAGAUAAUGUACCAAUGUGAGGGCAGCAGUUCAUCUCUGUGGGGGUACGGUGGUUCGCCGCGGUCCUCCCUGGCUGACCAUGGCGCGUCCCUUCGUAAGGCAGUGUACCAGCCAGCCAACCGGGACACAGGUCAGGAGACAAACUCAGCGGACAGCAAGAAUGACAGCUCCAAGACGUCCACCUCCUCCAGUAGCAGUGUCAGCAAAAUUUGGCGCAAGAGGAACGUUACGCCAGAACAGCUCUUUAAGUUUACGGAGAACCUUCGCAUCUGGAUGUCGGCGACUCUGCUGGUGCCGCUGGUGCAGAACAUUGAUGCCACAAACAAGGUGCUGCGUGGAGUGGCCCCAGAGAUACAGAUUGGUGCUGUCGGCGUCGACAAGCUCAAGAAAACGGCACAGAAUAUUUCAGGCCUUAAGCAGCUGGCUGAUGUGGUUCCGUUCCUGGAGGUGACAGUGCAUCAAGACUACCUCCUCCACCGCCUCCGAGAGCUGGCCAGUGGUGGGGCCAUCUCCGCCUACCGCUGGAACUCUGGAAGCACCACAUUUAACAGCCGCCCUUGGAAGGAGGAGUACCCCACGGACACUGCUAUCCUACUACACCUGUUUGCCAUGCACCUGGACCAGCAGCUGCCCCCAGACAUUGCCCAGCCUGAGGGAAGGAUGUUUUCCAGCACUCACGUCAUCAAGGCUCCUGAAAAACCACCCAAGACGACACACAGACCACUUCUCUAUCUCAGCCAGGUCACCCCACCCCACGUGAAGGUCGUCCUGCCCCCUGAGGAAGAGUGCGAUGUUGGAAGUGGCCGUAACAACCUCACACACGCCCUUCUCCUCUUCAUUCACUACGUCAUUCAUUGCCAACAUUCCCGCAUCGCUAACAUUAAUUUAUCUAUGUCUGGGGUCAAUCUAUCCUGGGUCAUUGGUGCGGAUAAGGUCAAAAGUAGCCUCCUCUGACCUUGCUUGACCUGGUUCGGUGUGUGUGUCUGACCUUUUUGUGUGUUUGUGUGUGUUUGUUUUGACGUUUUGUUGAGGUGUUUGGUUAGUGACGACUGAAGAUUGUGUUUGGAGGGUUUUUGUUUUGUUUUUUCUCUCUCUCUCUCUCUCUCUCUCUCUCUCUCUCUCUCUCUCUCUCUCUCUCUCUCUCUCUCUCUCUCUCUCUCUCUCUCAUUUCCCUAUAGUUUGGUGUGGUCAGCGAGUGCCAAGCGUUUCCAAAGUGUGCCAGACCUCAAACCUCUCUGUGCUUGUUUGGGUAAGAUUUCUGACGAGUGUUUGACCGACAGACCGACAAAAGAGUGCGUUUGAGUGUGUGUGUGUGUGUGUGUGUGUGUGUGUGUGUGUGUGUGUGUGUGUGUGUGUGUGUGUGUGUGUGUGUGUGUUCUCGACCUUUGGUUUGGUUGUGGGUGGAUAAGACCUGAACUCUCUCUCUCUCUCUCUCUCUCUCUCUCUCUCUCUCUCUCUCUCUCUCUCUCUCUCUCUCUCUCUCUCUCUCUCUCUCUCUCU